UCAAUGUGUUCCUCAGGUUUUUUGAUGUGGACUGUUUGGUAUCCACGGACGUUACAUGAAACGUGAUAAAUAAGGUUCGCUAUACACGGCAAAAUAUAUUUGCAUUAUUUUUGUUUUGCUAGUGGUGGUAUAAUAUUUUGCUUGAGACGAUACUAAUAUUGAAUAUAAAAUUGCACUUUUGGGUUUUGUACUAAUAUUCUUCAUUUAUUUUUCGCUUGGUUUCCGUUGGAUAUGUAUAAAUGUUCUAAUGUUUUUUUUUUGAGACAUUAAUUAUAUGUUUGUUCGUGUUGAUUAAUUUCCGCUAAAUGUAAAAAAAUGCACUUAUGGAUUUGACUACCUUUCUUUUUUACUGUUGCCCUUGCACGUGCAAGGUAGCAUAUAUUUUAAUGCUUUGUCGCCAAAUUUUAUUUUAUUAUUUGAAUAAUACUAAUGUUUUGAAUUAUUCAUACAUGAAUUACAGAUCACCAAAUGAAAGCUUUUGUGUUGAGUGAAACGGGAGAACCAGAGGACGUGGGGGAAACAAGGGACGUGGGGUCGGUCAGGCCAUGGCAGUCGCGGUGACCGUGGCAGUCGUGGAGGUGGUGAGACACGCGGGAACCGUGGCGGGCCUGGCAGCCGGGGUGGCUGCAGGGGCGCGGACACGAUAGUUUGCCCUCUCAAACAGGGAGGCAAGUAAAUUUUGCAUGGAUUUAUUACGUAUAUAAAUGUCUUUUAUUUUUAAUGCUGUAGCAUUUUUUCUAACAGUGAGCUAGACGUCGUCCGCGCCCAGCGCCAAAUAACGCAGAGGCGCGCUGCAGCCCUGUCUGUAGAGGUUAGGCAGGAGCUUCUGUCUCGGAAGCGCGAAGCCGAAACCUCGCGAUGAUUGCGGCGGCCGAUAGACGCGCCCGGUACGUUUGUUUAUUACAUAUUUACAACUUAACAUUGCAUCAAGCCUUGGUAACGUUUUUUUUUUAGAUUACCUUCUCCGGAGCGCGAGGCAUGUAUCUUUGAAGAGCCGCAACCGCAACCGGAGCCGCAGCCACAACCGGAACUGCAAACCAGUUGAGUCAUAAUUCUAGGUAAUGAUUGAUCCGAAAGUUAAUUCUUAUUUUUUGUUAUCCGUUUUGUUGUAUUGAAGUGAAAUUAUUUGUUUUAGAGAAUAUUCAAUUGGUGCCCCCCCGGCCGGUCGAAAUCCGUAAGUAAAUGCUUUACAAGAUCUAUAAAUAAUCUUUUUUUAUUUAUUACUUAUUGCUGUUACAGAGGAGCUAGAAGCUGGCGGACAAGGAGGAGCUGGAUCCAGUGUAUCGGUACGCCAGAUUUGGAUACCGCCCCCAAUUCUCCUAGUUCUCUAGAUCCAGGCCGUCUUAAUACAGAGGCUAAUGCCUUGAUGGCAAAAACUCCCCAGAAAAAGGGCUUUGUCGGUUAUAUGUAUACGGAUGAAGAGUAAGAGAAGCGUCCCCUUAAUGUUUUUUUUUAUUUUCCCCGACACACACACACAGUUGUUGUUUUUUAUGAAUUAUGAAUCUACAUUACCAAUAACAUACAGAUACAUUUGCACACUAUACAUAUACACCAAAAUGUAUAAAACUAAAAAAAAAGGUCAGGAUUCUUUGUUUUUAUUCUUUGCAGUCAUUUUUAUUCAUGUUUUGGUUACUUUGAGACAUACACUAUAUAAUUUAGUAGAAUUUUAUUUCUGGAAACAAUAUGGCUGCGAACGGAGAAGGAAUUUCUGUUGCGUCUUCCACAAGUACACAACGUAAUUCGAUUGGUACGCAUAUUGGUAUUUAUUCAACUAGAAGUCAUGUUGCGCCGACCCCAAAUGACUUGGGAACAGGGCAGGAAGAUGAUAUGAUUCAACUAGAAGUCAAAUUUUAAAGACCGCAAAAUAGUAACGGUAUAUGUUUGUUUUAGGGGUUAACGACAAAGAAUUUGAUGAAAUAAUUGACGAGUGGAUGAAACUCAAUGACGACCUAAGCGACUGCGACAUGGACAUAGAAAACGAGGAACACAUCAUACCACAGAUUACCUCACGCAAUGCUUCGGCCGAGCCUGCAGUUCUCGCCGACAUAACUCCUCGCGAGACCCAAGUACUUGACGUAGAAGACAGACAAAAUGACCUGGCAAUUAGGGAGCUUGUAUCGACUGACUGUUACAACUUUAAAUGGACAAGAGACCGACAGAUUUUUACAGGACGACGUGAGACUAUUACUGGAAGUCCAGGACCUACAUUUAAAAUGAUAGACAUAGACUUUGUUGACAGAAUUUGCACAGAGAAUAACCAGGUACGCUGACCAAAAAAUUAAAAUUUUAAAAGACCAAAAUAAGUUCCUACCGACAAUACGACUUUACAGAUGGACACCGACUGACAGGAACGAAAUGAUCAGUUUCUUUGCCAUUUUACAGGGGCCCCUGCCGGAAGAGGAGUCCUAUUUUUGUUUUAAUGGUUUCGGCACUAUGCCUUAUUUUUCUAAUAUUAUGUAGUAUAAUAGGUUUGUAUUAAUUAAAUCUCUGAUACAUUUCGUUGACAAUGAGACUAUAACUGACCCUACGACAAAUUUUCCAGCAUGUAUAAUCCUUCCCAAGAUAUUGUCACAGACGAAUCCCUUCUGAAGUGGCAUGGGAGAUGGGAGGCUUCGCUCAGAAGAUUUUGUCGAAGGCUGCACAAGUCGGAGUGGUGACAUACGAGUUGUGUGAGUCUUCCUCGGGGUAUCUUUGGAAGUUCUUUGUAUAUGCUGGAAAAGACAAGACCAAGACUGCGACCGCAACUACGACUGACGACAUUGAUGAUACAGACGACAGACCUGCGGAGACGGAAACGACUGAACAACUUUUACCUGGCAGUAGCAAUGCACGUCCCAGCAACGCUACUGCCAAAAUUGUGUAUGACUUCGUAGAGCCGUUACUUCACCGUGGACAUACGUUAAUAAUGGUAAUUUUUUAUAAUAGACCAUUAUAGCGCGAUGUCUAAAACGGCAAGGCACAGAUACGAGCUACGAGACGUUAAGACCGAAUCGGGAAUUCGUUCCCGAUUCACUGAAGACAGUAUCAAAGACGGAUCUUCGACAAGGUGAAGUAAUGGCACGCUACUGUGCCGAUUUGUCGAUUAUUAUAUAGCGAGAUUCUAACCUAGUUAGCAUGAUCUCGACUUACCGUAACCUACAAAUCGGUAAAAAACAAAAACAUAACCGACUGACUUAUAAGCCAAGUGUAGUCCUGAUUUACAACAAAUCCAUGGGAGGUGUGGACCGGAAAGACCAGUUCUUAUCUGCUCAGCCCUUGGAGCGAACAAAAAACAAAAUAUGGUACAAAAAACUGUUCUGCCGCUUGUUUAAAGGUAGGACCGCACUUAAGCGACACUCCGCGGCAGUGGAGCGAUGCGACACGUAACGACACUAUAGGUAUACCGCACUUGAACUGCAGUGCUGCGACAGUUUGCAGCAAAUUUUGUCUGUCACUCGCUUGGCAAUCUAAAGAAGAUGGAUGAAACUGAUUUGAAUGUUAUUUUGAGUAAGGCGGACGAAAGUGACUUGGAUAUUGUAAUAGUAUCUUUGCUUUAUGAAGAAGAAGAAAGAAUGGAAAAACAGCAAACAAAAAAGAAUAGAUGGGUUCAUGACACUCCGUAUUCACGAUAUGAAGAAGGGGAAUAUCAUACACUUUUGCCGCGGCUUAAAAAUGAUCAGAAAAGGUUUCACACAUACUUUAGAAUGUCUCAAAAUAGAUUUGAUGACUUGUUACAAAUUAUGAAGCCCCUUAUAGAAAAACAGGAUACAUUUUUCCGAAAAGCGAUAAAUGUGGAAGAAAGACUCAUGGUUACAAUCAGGUUCCUUGCUACUGGAGAUUCGUUCAAGACCAUCGCAGAAUCUUUUCGUUUGGGUUAUACAACCGUGCAAGAAAUUGUACAUACUACUUGUGUAGCUUUGUGGGAAGGGUUGUCCAAAAUAGUCAUGCCCAUUCCAGAUGAACAGAAAUGGAUGGACAUUGCAAAAGAAUUUUACGAAAAAUGGAACUAUCCUAACUGUAUUGGUGCACUAGAUGGGAAGCACAUAGAAAUUUUCGCGCCACCGAAUAGUGGCUCACUAUUUUUUAAUUACAAGAAGUUCUUUUCAAUUGUACUACUUGCUCCAGUGGACGCAAAUUACAAAUUUAUAUACAUAUGUGAAUGUUGGUGAUCUGGGUAAAAAUAGUGAUGCAGGGAUAUAUUCGCGAUCAAAACUAGCAUUAUCAUUAGAAUCCAAUACUUUGAAUAUACCAGGCCCUAAAGAAUUACCUGGAUCGCCAAAUAAACUACCUCACGUGAUAGUUGGGGAUGAAGCUUUCCCACUAAAAAUUAUUUAAUGAGACCUUACCCUGGGACAUAGUUAAAUGAUCAAUCAAAACAAGUAUACAAUUACAGACAUAGUAGAGCACGAAGAGUUUCAGAAAACGCAUUCGGCAUAUUAUGCCAAAAAAUCAGAAUUUAUUAUCGCAAUAUCUGUCUUAGUGCGGAACACGUAGACUACGUAAUUCUUGCUACUACUGUGUUACAAAAUUUUCUUAGACACGACAACGUGUCGUUUGAUAAUGAAGACACUGAAGAGACACAAUUACGAGGCCUUCCUCGUAUUGGGGGUAACUUCGUAUAUAACGCUAUGCACGUACGGGAUAGAUUUAAAUAUUAUUUCAAUUCUCCUCAAGGUAGUUUGGCCUGGAAAAAUGAAACUGUAAACAGGGGAUGUCGUCAACGAUAAUACGUUCAGAUACCUACCUACCUAUAAAGAAUAAUAAUGCAUAGUCACAACGUGUGUCUACUUCAUUUUAUUUGUGUGUAUUAGCCGAAUGUGUCUACUUUCUUUACAUGCACGCAAAUAUAAAUUCUAAUAAGCAUAUUUAAUUCUAAAUAAAUUCAAAUAAUACAAGGUUUCUAGCGUUUUUAUUCUAAGCCUACCCACAUAGAAUUAAGAAAUCACAUUGGCUUUCCCAUACUAAAAAGUUGAUGAAAAUAAAUACAAUCUUGUACCAACUCAGAAAGAUGUAUGAAAUUUACUUCCUCGAUACUCCCAUUUCCUCGCCAAUUUCCCUCCAAAUGUUGUUUUUCCUAAGAGAAUUCAUAUAAUGUUCAUUUUGAGGAUCAUAUAUCUCAGGAUACUGACUGACUAACAUAAUUAAUUUCUCUUCGUCGAAAGCCAUUUCAAACACGAACCGUUACCGUUACCGUUAUGCUACGGCCGCACUCAUCGCGAUAACCCGAAUAUUCACGUUAUCGCGAUAUGUGUAGCCAAGUAUUCGCGAACCCUUCGGCACUUCGGGCGAAGCUUCGGGCUUAUCGCUUCGCUGUCGGUAAACUCUCGCAGAUCAAAGGGUUUUAUUGCGAUGAACUUCGCGGUGCGCGGCCACACUUCAGUCGGCCCGUACGCAUCGGCCAAGCGGACGUGUUUUCAACGCUAGUAUUUUCUCUAUAGUUUUCACUACAGUGCUGAACGAACAUGGAUUGGAGCAACGAAAAAAUUUUAGAAUUCAUUGCGAAUUAUGAGACUGAGCCGAUAUU